UCGAAAAUGUGAAACCUACUUCUUUCUGUAGGAAAAAGCUCAUAUAGUGUAAGAACCAGUCUUGCUGUAGUUGUUUCUGAUGAUCACAUGAAUAAUUACAGCAGCUCUGAGGCCCAGUGUCUUCAUAUUGUAUUAAGCUGGGAUGUCCUGAUACUGCUGCUUGUUUUGUUUUGGGGAGGGAGUGCCCUACAGUAUGAAGGAUUACCAUGGUGCAAUUGAUUUAAGUGAAAUGAAAUACUUUGUUCCCACAACCUGAGGCUUUGUUCAAAUUUCCUUAAUUGUGAAGGUGAAGCCCAAAUUAUUGACAGUCUUUGUUUGCACUGAGAGGAUCCGCCAGCCAGCUUUUGUAGCCUUGAGCAUAUGCCUGAGCAAGUAUGUCUUUUAAAUUGGUCUGUCUAGACCAGUAUUAACCUUGUAGCCUCCCAGUGAGCAAUUACAGGGCACUGUGCCAGACUUUGUUUCCACUAUUCCCCUCGCUCGUUGCUUCCCCAGACCUUAAUGAACCAGGAUCUUUUGGGCCAAUGGGACCUCUCUUGUAUCAGGCUGUACUGGUGUUAUAUAAAGGUGUUAUUGUAUUUUUCAUGCAGAAUCAAUUGGUCACUAUUGGCCAUUUCAAACUAAAGAAUUUCAAGCAUGUAAAUGUACAGUGUCGCAGCUGGCAGUGCUGGAGCUUUAGAAUUGAGUCAAAUGUGAGAACUCAAGAUGGCACCGAUAGAGAUGGCAGCUUCACUUCAAGUCCAUAGGAAACUGUGCAGUAUUUAGUUUUUUUUAUGUAUUAUUUCUUACAUUGUUAGCCUAGAAAACCUAAAGUGUUAUUACAUACAGCCGGGAAGAACUAUUGGAUAUCAGAGAAACGUCAACUUACCAGCACAACCAGCACUACGACCAGGAAUACGACUUUCCCAAAGCGGAUCCUUUGUCUGCACCUUCCAGGGCAUUUGAACUGAUUCCAGAGGCCGACCCAAAACAACGCCAUCGGAGGAGACGGUGCCGGAGCGGGCCUCUAGUGAGGCUUCGGAUGCGCGCACACCACCCACCGCUUCCGAGUAUAUUACUCGCUAAUGUCCAGUCCCUAGUUAACAAAGUUGAGGAAAUUAGGGGAAGAGUUGCUUUCCAAAGAGAUCCAGGAUUGUAACAUACUCUGUUUCACGGAGACAUGGCUAGCUGGGGACAGCAUGUUCAGCCAACGGGAUUUUCAGUGCAUUGCGCCGACAUGAACAAAUACCUCUCUGAAUUCCUCACAAUCAAAUGCCGACCGUAUUAUCUCCCAAGAGAACUCUCCUCGGUUAUCGUCCCCCCCCUCGCAAGCGGAUACCAAGACGGCCAUCAAGGAACUUUACUAGACGUUAUGCAAACUGGAAACCAAAUAUCCUGAG
rnacentral:lncRNA from 1 species